GUGAAUCAUCGAAUCUUUGAACGCAUAUUGCACCCUCUGGUAUUCCGGAGUGUAUGCCUGUUCGAGGUUAAUUAAAAAGAAUAUUUACCAAUUUUUUUUGGUUAAAGGAAAUGAGUUCUCCGCGUUUAUAGCGGUAGCUUGAAAUAAAUGGUAGUCUAAUUUUAGUCGAGACGCGUAAUAAUAUUAUUUCGCGUAAUAUUUAUUAUGUGACUACCAAGUUUUGAUUCAUUCAAUUUUGUUUGUAAGAGAUCAAUACAAAUAUUUUGAACAUUAUAUCAAAUCAUGUAGGAGUACC
rnacentral:misc_RNA from 1 species